rnacentral:tRNA from 1 species
GGUGGCUCAGUGGUAAAGCGCUUGCCUGGCAUGCAUGAGGCCCUGGGUUCCAUUCCUCAGCACCA